rnacentral:misc_RNA from 1 species
GAUGAAGAACGCAGCGAAAUGCGAUAAGUAAUGUGAAUUGCAGGAUUCAGUGAAUCAUCGAAUCUUUGAACGCACCUUGCGCUCCUUGGUAUUCCGAGGAGCAUGCCUGUUUGAGUGUCAUUAAUAUAUCAACCUUCUCUUUUUUGAGUUGUUUGGAUGUGGGGGUUUGCUGGCCUCUUAAAUGAUUCAGCUCCCCUGAAAUGCAUUAGCAGUACAACCUGUUCAUUGGCGUGAUAAUUAUCUAUGCUAUUGAAUGUGAGGGCAGUUCAGCUUUCUAACCGUCCUUGGACAAUUCAUCAUUAAUGUGACCUCAAAUCAGGUAGGACUACCCGCUGAACUUAAGCAUAUCAAUAAGCGGAGGA